rnacentral:rRNA from 1 species
CCUACGGGAGACAGCAGUGAGGAAUAUUGGUCAAUGGACGAGAGUCUGAACCAGCCAAGUAGCGUGAAGGAUGACUGCCCUAUGGGUUGUAAACUUCUUUUAUAAAGGAAUAAAACGAGGCACGUGUGCCUUUUUGCAUGUACUUUAUGAAUAAGGAUCGGCUAACUCCGUGCCAGCAGCCGCGGUAAUACGGAGGAUCCGUGCGUUAUCCGGAUUUAUUGGGUUUAAAGGGAGCGUAGAUGGGUUGUUAAGUCAGUUGUGAAAGUUUGCGGCUCAACCGUAAAAUUGCAGUUGAUACUGGCAGGCUAGAGUACAGUUGAGGUAGGCGGAAUUCGUGGUGUAGCGGUGAAAUGCAUAGAUAUCACGAAGAACCCCGAUUGCGAAGGCAGCUUACUAAACUGUGACUGACAUUGAUGCACGAAAGUGUGGGUAUCAAACAGGAUUAGAUACCCCAGUAGUC